ensembl:rRNA 5S_rRNA 5S ribosomal RNA
GCUUACGGCCAUACCAGCCGAAGAACUCCCAGUCUCGUCUGAUCUCCGAAGCUAAGAAGGCUUGGGCCUGGUUAGUAUAUGGAUGGGAGACUGCCUGGGAAUACCAGGUGCUGUAAGCU